GUUUGAUCCUGGCUCAGGAUGAACGCUGGCGGCAUGCCUAAUACAUGCAAGUCGAGCGAAUGGAUUGAGAGCUUGCUCUCAAGAAGUUAGCGGCGGACGGGUGAGU
rnacentral:rRNA from 1 species